rnacentral:lncRNA from 1 species
CAAGCUUUAUAAUUCACUAGCAAUCACCUCUAGAUUACUACAUGUCCAAUAUAUCUAUGAAUAAAAAGAUCUUAUCAGCCAUCAACCCGACUUUAUUUAUAUAGUACACUUAUCAAUACAAACUAAUACAAGUAUAAAAUGAGAUAAUUAUGAAAAACUUUUGAAAAUAAUACCUACAAUUAUAAAAAGGUACCAAAGAAAAAAUCCAAAAAUCUAUACUAACUUUUCAUC